rnacentral:rRNA from 1 species
AACGAACGCUGGCGGCAUGCCUAACACAUGCAAGUCGAACGAAGGCUUCGGCCUUAGUGGCGCACGGGUGCGUAACGCGUGGGAAUCUGCCCCUCGGUUCGGAAUAACAGUUAGAAAUAACUGCUACUACCGGAUGAUGACUUCGGUCCAAAGAUUUAUCGCCGGGGGAUGAGCCCGCGUAGGAUUAGGUAGUUGGUGGGGUAAAGGCCUACCAAGCCGACGAUCCUUAGCUGGUCUGAGAGGAUGAUCAGCCACACUGGGACUGAGACACGGCCCAGACUCCUACGGGAGGCAGCAGUGGGGAAUAUUGGACAAUGGGCGAAAGCCUGAUCCAGCAAUGCCGCGUGAGUGAUGAAGGCCUUAGGGUUGUAAAGCUCUUUUGCCAGGGAUGAUAAUGACAGUACCUGGAGAAUAAGCUCCGGCUAACUCCGUGCCAGCCGCCGCCGUAA